rnacentral:rRNA from 1 species
UGGGGAAUAUUGGACAAUGGGCGAAAGCCUGAUCCAGCCAUGCCGCGUGUGUGAAGAAGGUCUUCGGAUUGUACAGCACUUUAAGUUGGGAGGAAGGGCAGUAAGCGAAUACCUUGCUGUUUUGACGUUACCGACAGAAUAAGCACCGGCUAACUCUGUGCCAGCAGCCGCGGUAAUACAGAGGGUGCAAGCGUUAAUCGGAAUUACUGGGCGUAAAGCGCGCGUAGGUGGUUCGUUAAGUUGAAUGUGAAAGCCCCGGGCUCAACCUGGGAACUGCAUCCAAAGCUGGCGAGCUAGAGGAGGGCAGAGGGUGGUGGAAUUUCCUGUGGAGCGGUGAAAUGCGUAGAUAUAGGAAGGAACACCAGUGGCGAAGGCGACCACCUGGGCUCAUACUGACACUGAGGUGCGAAAGCGUGGGGAGCAAACAGG